AGAGGGUGCGAGCGUUAAUCGGAUUUACUGGGCGUAAAGCGUGCAUAGGCGGCUUUUUAAGUCGGAUGUGAAAUCCCCGAGCUUAACUUGGGAAUUGCAUUCGAUACUGGGAAGCUAGAGUAUGGGAGAGGAUGGUAGAAUUCCAGGUGUAGCGGUGAAAUGCGUAGAGAUCUGGAGGAAUACCGAUGGCGAAGGCAGCCAUCUGGCCUAAUACUGACGCUGAGGUACGAAAACAUGGGGAGCAAACAGGAUUAGAUACCCUGGUAGUCCAUGCCGUAAACGAUGUCUACUAGCCGUUGGGGCCUUUGAGGCUUUAGUGGCGCAGCUAACGCGAUUAGUAGACCGCCUGGGGAGUACGGUCGCAAGACUA
rnacentral:rRNA from 1 species